rnacentral:tRNA from 1 species
UAAUGAUUUCUUUAUAUUUAUUUAACUAAAUUAAUAAAAAGUUAGUUAAACUAAAUAACUUAAAUUUGUC